rnacentral:ncRNA from 1 species
UAUCUGACUUUGAAAAGAUGAGUAGUGAUUGAUUUUCAUUCACAGAGAGCCUGCAAAGCUGUAAACAGGUAUGAAAAUUUUUGGCGAAUAUGGUCUUUGAGUUAUUGGAAAGUGAGUUUUUGCGAACUUUCCAUGGGUUGCCCAUUAUAGCACACGAGUAUGUUAGUACUUAGUGAGGAUAAGAUUGUGAGAUCUUAUUAAAUUUUGGGUGGUAUCACGAAGAUUUUCGUCCCUUUU